rnacentral:lncRNA from 1 species
GGAAGCUUCAAGUUCAGUCUCACUGUCUGUAAAAUGAGAUAGUGAAAAUUACUCAAAAACUAAUUGGAAGUAUUGAAUUGUUCCUGGCUUAUACAUUGUAGGGGAUAAGGUAGGUAAAUCCAGUGCUAGUUGAAUUUUGUGUUAGGCUAUUCUUGUACUGCUAUAAAGAGAUACCUAAGACUGGGUAAUUUAUAAAGAAAAGAGGUUUAAUUGGCUCAUGAUUCCCCAGGGUGUACAGGAAGCAUGGCUGGAGAAGCCUCAGGAAACUUACAAUCAUGGUGGAAGGUGAAGAAGCAGGCAUAUUUUACAUGGCUGAAGCAGGAGAAAGAGAGAGAAGGGGGAAGGUGCUACACAUUUUUAAACAAACAGAUCUCCUGAGAACUCACUCACUAUCACAACAACAGCAAGGGGGAAGUCCACCCCCGUGAUCCAAGCACCUCCCACCAGGCCCCUCCUCCAACACUGGCGAUUACAAUUCAACACGAGAUUUGGUGGGGGCACAAAUCCAAACAAUAUCAAAUUUCAAACUGGAUCUUUUAAAGGAAGAAUCAAAAGAAUGCUCUAAUGUGUUGCUGGGUGGAUAAGGGAUGUGGAAGUGGGAGAAUUCAAAUGGCUUGUUCAAUUUCAUAUGGCUCAUUACUUGGUCCUUUAAUUCUAAAUCCAGCAAGUGGGGUUUAGCCAAUGGAUUGCUUGGAAAGAACAAUUGGACUAGAUCCUCUGAUUUCUCUUCUUCCGUCUCAUCUCCUGAUUUAAUUUCUUCUUCUUUCCCUUUCCAUUUCUAUUAGUAUAGAAUGGAGAAAACAAACAAACAAACAUCAAGAAACAUAGGUUUGGAUUUUUCUCCUCUUUUUUGCUCUGUGAGUCUGCGAAAGUUCUCUUGAACUCUCUGAGACUGAUUUCUUCCUACAUAAAAGGAAGGAAUUGGUCUAAACUAUUUUAAGAUUUUAAAUCUUAAUGUCUCCCUUCCUCUCCCUUGCCACAUUCACCUCCUCUUCUUGUGAUCUAGUCUCCGGAAACUCGAAGAUUACAAGCAGAAAACUAGCCUGAUACACUUAGCAUAUGCAAAUGCUGUGCCAGAGAGACCACCAAAGCUUGGAUUCCUCCUUCUGACUCUCCAGAGAUAUAUAGGGGCAAGCCUUUCAACCAGGGCAGAAGGAUUGGUCUCAGUGAUUUUGCAGAAAUCGUAAUUGAAGAAAAUGAUGGAAAGGAAGCUUUGAAUAUGGAGUGUUGUUAUUGCACUGACUGGACAACCAGAUGGAGCUAUUCCCAGUCCCCAGCACACAGAUAGAGAAUCUAUUCGACAAUAACUAAAGAGGUGUACAGUUCUAGAACAUUCUGCAACCAGACUUCAGGCACCAGGAGGCCUCCGUAGGCAGGGUUCCUCGGGCUUCUCAGCUGGCUUCCUUGGAGAAAUUUCAUAUGCUGAUUCCUUUCAAUUAUCUGUCAAUUUUCAAAAUGCAAAUAGAAACAUGCAGUCAUCACUUUGGUACUCACCAGCUGAUUUCUUCCAAGCACCCAGACCAUAAGUGAAUGCAGUUCAAUAUGUUCUCUUCCUUUUUUUAAGUGGAGUUAAUAUUACUGAGCAGAUUUUGGUUAGCUUCCAGGAACCCAGUGUGUGGAGAGGCAGAAUUUUAUUUUAGAAGCACAAGUUGGUUUGAAAAAUGUGAACUUACCCCAACUCUUUCUUUGUUUCAUCUUUCUUACUAGACAUGUUUUAUUUUCCUAAAGAAAACAUAAAUAAAAACAAAAAAAAAUUCUUCAUUGAUACACACACACACACACACACACACACACAUACACAAUUUAGGUCAAAUUAUUUUUACUACUUAGGAUGUCUUUAGUUAUUUUACAUAUUUAUAACACAGAAAAAAAGUAAGAAGAAAAGGAAAAAUGGUGUAUAAUCUUAAGACCAGGAGAUAACCAAUAAUAAAUAUUUUGCUAUAAUUUCUUUUCAUAUUCUAUGCAUAUACAUUUUAUGGAAUUGAGUUCACACUGUUCACAUAAUUUUGCUUUCUCUAUUUUGCCUUUACCUUUAUCAAUAAGCAUUUUCUUUAUAUCCUUAAAAUUUCUUUAUUAACGUAACCUAAUACAUAUGCACAAAAUGUUACCUAAUCAUUCGCCUGUUUAAGGGCAUUUGGUAAUUUCCAAUAUUUUUUCCUUCACGAUUUCGGGUAAUGUUUAAAUAAACCAAUUUAUGGAAAAGAGCUACCUAUGUUGGAUUACUUGCUUAGAAUGAAUUCCUGGAAAUAGAAUUACUGGGUCAAAGGGUACCAACAUAUUUAAUGUCCCCAAAGGCAUAUUGGCAAAUUGCCUUCCAUACAAAUUAUACCAAUUCCCCCUCUGUAACUAGUAUAUAAAAGUGCCUGUUUCACAGUAUCUCCCCUGCUCCAAGAUCUUGUAAAAUCUCUGCAAAUUUGAAAAAUGAAAAAAAUGAUAACUGUUGCCUGGAACAAUUUGUUAAAAGAUGCACUGAGCAAUACAUUUAUUUUUAAAAUUUUUCAUCUCACAAAGAAAUAUAAAAGCUUAUACACAGGAUGUUUUCUGACCAAUAAAUGCUAAAAAGCCAUAAUGUUUCAUCAUACAUAGUAGAUUAUUUUGUUCGAAAACCUAUUACAUUUUGCAUGCUGCUAUAGCAGUCUUUCUAGUCCAGAAAACACUUCACUAAAACAGCAACAAUAUCAGUUUACUGCAUAAGAUUGCCGGCAGCUCACACUAGAUUCUAAACACGAUUGAAUAGGCAUCUUUAAGAGUGGAAUAUCCAUGACUUAUCUUGCCAGGCUUGGUACUAUGCCAGUGGAGAAGGUGGAUGGUGCCAUUGUUAUUUGGGCAGCCAUGCCGAUCUCAAGGAGGAAAGCUGAAAUUGUUUGAAAACCUGGUUUAAGACAGUCUUUUUGAGAUUUAGCCCUAGAGAACACUCAACUAAACAACCAAGAGAGGC